GUGGAACAGCAAAGAAGGAAGAAGAAGAAGAAGGAGGACUGCCUUCUCAUAGAUGGUGGAACUGGUGCUGAGGCAGGAUUGGAUUUUGACAGUGGUUGUGAGGCUCGUGUCUGAUGGACAUCACUUCAGUUAUUUCAAUUAUUACUUUUGAUGUAAAUGUUUAUGAAAUAUGUAAAAUGUAAAUAUUGUACCUAUGGAUUGUCAACAAUUGAAUCUUGUAUAUUUGUAAUUUAACACUCUAGUACAUCACCAAUGAUAUUUAUAUGACUUUAUUAGUGUA